AACGCACCUUGCGCUCCUUGGCAUUCCGAGGAGCAUGCCUGUUUGAGUGUCAUUAAAUUCUCAAUCCUAUGCUCUCUUGCAUUGCAUGGUGAUUGGAUUAUGGAGGCUGCUGGCUUGUUCAGCUCCUCUUAAAAGCAUUAGCAGGGUAUAAUGCCAUCUGUGCUUUGUAUGAUAUGUAUCUAUACAUUGUGCAAUUGUGCAUGUCUGCUACAAACUGUCAGACUUUGACACUUGACCAAUUUGACCUCAAAUCAGGUAGGACUACCCGCUGAACUUAA
rnacentral:misc_RNA from 1 species